UCCGGCUUAUCACCGGCAGUCCCCUUAGAGUGCCCAACUAAAUGAUGGCAACUAAGGGCGAGGGUUGCGCUCGUUGCGGGACUUAACCCAACAUCUCACGACACGAGCUGACGACAGCCAUGCAGCACCUGUGAUGGUGUCCCGAAGGAAGAGUGUGUUUCCACACCUGUCACCAACAUGUCAAGCCCAGGUAAGGUUCUUCGCGUAGCCUCGAAUUAAACCACAUGCUCCACCGCUUGUGCGGGUCCCCGUCAAUUCCUUUGAGUUUUAAUCUUGCGACCGUACUCCCCAGGCGGCACGUUUAACGCGUUAGCUCCGGCGCGGAAGGGGUCGAAUCCUCCCACACCAAACGUGCACCGUUUACUGCCAGGACUAC
rnacentral:misc_RNA from 1 species